rnacentral:sRNA from 1 species
ACCUGAAAUAUGGUCCUAGGGUUAGACAUAUAUCG